rnacentral:rRNA from 1 species
UUCAGCGGCGGACGGGUGAGUAAUGCCUAGGAAUCUGCCCGAUAGUGGGGGACAACGUUUCGAAAGGAACGCUAAUACCGCAUACGUCCUACGGGAGAAAGCAGGGGACCUUCGGGCCUUGCGCUAUCGGAUGAGCCUAGGUCGGAUUAGCUAGUUGGUGGGGUAAAGGCUCACCAAGGCGACGAUCCGUAACUGGUCUGAGAGGAUGAUCAGUCACACUGGAACUGAGACACGGUCCAGACUCCUACGGGAGGCAGCAGUGGGGAAUAUUGGACAAUGGGCGAAAGCCUGAUCCAGCCAUGCCGCGUGUGUGAAGAAGGUCUUCGGAUUGUAAAGCACUUUAAGCUGGGAGGAAGGGCAGUAAGUUAAUACCUUGCUGUUUUGACGUUACCAGCAGAAUAAGCACCGGCUAACUUCGUGCCAGCAGCCGCGGUAAUACGAAGGGUGCAAGCGUUAAUCGGAAUUACUGGGCGUAAAGCGCGCGUAGGUGGUUCAGCAAGUUGGAUGUGAAAGCCCCGGGCUCAACCUGGGAACUGCAUCCAAAACUACUGGGCUAGAGUAUGGUAGAGGGUGGUGGAAUUUCCUGUGUAGCGGUGAAAUGCGUAGAUAUAGGAAGGAACACCAGUGGCGAAGGCGACCACCUGGACUAAUACUGACACUGAGGUGCGAAAGCGUGGGGAGCAAACAGGAUUAGAUACCCUGGUAGUCCACGCCGUAAACGAUGUCAACUAGUUGUUGGGUUCCUUGAGGACUUAGUAACGAAGCUAACGCGAUAAGUUGACCGCCUGGGGAGUACGGCCGCAAGGUUAAAACUCAAAUGAAUUGACGGGGGCCCGCACAAGCGGUGGAGCAUGUGGUUUUAUUCGAAGCACGCGAAGAACCUUACCUGGCCUUGACAUGCUGAGAACUUUCCAGA